rnacentral:ncRNA from 2 species
UUGAACACAAGAUUUAAAGGUGUCCGCCAGCCGGCGGAUGAAAAGGGAAUCCGGUAAUCCCCGAAGAGGGAGAAUCCGGAGCUGUUCCCGCAACUGUAAUCCGAUAUAUUUUCUUGUUAAUCCACUGUCUCAGCCCCAAAAGAGAUGGGAAGGACCAGGGAAAUUUCGGUGAGCCAGGAGACCUGCCUUUAAAUUGAGUAAACG